rnacentral:rRNA from 1 species
AUUGAACGCUGGCGGCAGGCUUAACACAUGCAAGUCGAGCGGAGAGAGGUAGCUUGCUACCGAUCUUAGCGGCGGACGGGUGAGUAAUGCUUAGGAAUCUGCCUAUUAGUGGGGGACAACAUUUCGAAAGGAAUGCUAAUACCGCAUACGUCCUACGGGAGAAAGCAGGGGAUCCUCGGACCUUGCGCUAAUAGAUGAGCCUAAGUCGGAUUAGCUAGUUGGUGGGGUAAAGGCCUACCAAGGCGACGAUCUGUAGCGGGUCUGAGAGGAUGAUCCGCCACACUGGGACUGAGACGCGGCCCAGACGCCUACGGGAGGCAGCAGUGGGGAAUAUUGGACAAUGGGCGCAAGCCUGAUCCAGCCAUGCCGCGUGUGUGAAGAAGGCCUUAUGGUUGUAAAGCACUUUAAGCGAGGAGGAGGCUACUUUAGAUAAUACCUAGAGAUAGUGGACGUUACUCGCAGAAUAAGCACCGGCUAACUCUGUGCCAGCAGCCGCAGUAA